rnacentral:rRNA from 1 species
UGGCGGACGGGUGAGUAACGCGUGGGUAACCUGCCCCAUACCGGGGAUACCACCUGGAAACAGGUGCUAAUACCGCAUAAGCGCACGGGAGCGCAUGCUCCUGUGUGAAAAACUCCGGUGGUAUGGGAUGGACCCGCGUCUGAUUAGCCAGUUGGCAGGGUAACGGCCUACCAAAGCGACGAUCAGUAGCCGGCCUGAGAGGGUGGACGGCCACAUUGGGACUGAGACACGGCCCAAACUCCUACGGGAGGCAGCAG